rnacentral:lncRNA from 1 species
UUUUUUUUUUUGUCUUAUUGCUAUUUCUUGGGCAGCUCCAGCGGCAUAUGGAGGCUCUUUUGAUAGCUUCAAGCAAACUUAAAGGAUCCGAAAACAUCCUAUGUCAUUAAAAACUUGACUCGGGGAGUUCCUGUCAUGGCGCAGCAGAAACAAAUCUGACUAGGAACCAUGAGGUUGCAGGUUCGAUCCCUGGCCUCACUCAGUGGGUUAAGGAUCCAGCAUUGCCGUGAGCUGUGGUGGAGGUCGCAGACAUGGCUGGGAUCUAGCGUUGCUGUGGCUCUGUUGUAGGCCAGCAGCUGUGGCUCCAAUUGGACCCCUAGCCUGGGAACCUCCAUGUGCCACACGUGCGGCCCUAAAAAAGCAAAAAAAAAAAAACCCCAAAAAACAAAAAAACAAAAACUUGACUCGGGAGUUCCCGCUGUGGAUCAAUGGGAGGCAGGUUCGCUCCCCGGCCUCAUUCAGUGGGUUAUAGAUCCGGCACAGGCCGAAGACAUGGCUCAGAUCUGGCGUUUCUGUGGCACAGGCCAGCAGCUGCAGCUCCAGUUCAACCCCUAGCCUAGGAACUUUUGUAUGCCGCAUGUGUCGCCAUAAACAAGUAGGGAAAAAAGGAGUUCCCAUUGUGGCUCAGCAGUAACGAACUCAACUAGUAUCCAUGAGGAUUCGGGUUUGAUCUCUGGCCUUGCUCAGUGGGUUAAGGAUCCAGUGUUGCCGUGAGCUGUGGUGUAGGUCGCAGACUUGGCUCAGAUCCGGUGUUACUGUGGUUGUGGUGUAGACAGCAGCUGCAGCUCCGAUUUGACCCCUACCCUGGGAACCUCCAUACGCCGCAGGUAUGGCCCUUAAAAAAAAAAAAGGCUACUAAAGGAAAAUAAUACACUUGAAAGGGGAAAAAAAACCCAAAAACUUAACAUUGAAUAACUUUAGUAUAAGUUUGCUAAUGCCACCACACCAGCUCCCUCAGCUCGCACUGGCCAAAAGACAAGCGUGUGAGGAAGCAGAGCCGGCCUCUGGCCUCUCUGAGAAUCUUCGAGGCGGACCGGACGCAGCCCACCUGGUGCUCCUGGCAUGCACAGCAGCACUCCCUCCUGGAACUUCCUCUACACCUGCCACUCCCUGCUCCCCUGCCUCCAGGCUGGCCCUGCCAGCGGAAAGCCCUUGCAGGAAAGCCCAGGCUCGGUGCCCCCUGGGGCCAGGUUCUUCUGCGUUCCUCACUGAAGCAGCCCCACAAAGACCAGCCACUCCCUCCUGGCAGGGCACUGCCCUCCCCUUCGGGCGACAUCCGGAAUAGCCAUGCUGCUGACAUUUCCCUUUAGCCCCUGAAGCAGGGCCGGGGUUAGUGGGGCUCACAGAGGGGUGGGAGCCCACACAAGCUGCCCCCUCGCCAAGCUACAGAGGCAGUCUUCUUCACCCAAGGACUCCUUCAGGCCCUGAGCAUGGAGCCCUGAUCUGUUGCUGUCUCUUCUGAUCCAUCAUCAGCCAUCCUUAGCCCCUUCUUCCCCAGAUUCACAAAGCACAGUGCCUGCAGCUUCGGGGCAAGAGUUUUCUAAGAUUAUUUAAAAAAAAAAAAAAAAAAAAAAGGCAUUUAGAUUAUAUGAGUUUUGUUUUUUUAGGAAUGAGAAUAAAUGCAUUCACAAAUAAAAUCUAUAUUUAGAUGCACAUUGAAAAAACUGUAUAUCUCAUAAUAACCAGCUAUGUACAUACAGCCAGUAGACUAUAAUUUUGACCAAUGAAAGAAACCCAUGAAAGAAAAAUGCCAAACUGCAGGAAUUAAAAAUGAGUUAACAAUAGAAAGAGGGCAGUACAUGUUGAGCUUCUGAGACUGUGCACUGAGGGAACAGUUUAUUCUCUCAGCCUCCAGUUCAGGCUAAGGCACAAACCACUCUGAGAGAAAAAUACGGAGUGGCUCACCCUCAAGGAAGGAAGCCUGUUAAGAAAGACUGAACCUGGAAGUGAGCAGUUACCAAGCUUCUUAGCUUGCUAACUUACCUUCCUCCCCAGGACCUAACUGCUAUGGAUCAGACCUUCCUAGGAACAUGCCAGAGCUAAGCCACUGUUCAGGCAAUUUUCCCAAAGACUGACUGGGCUGCUCCCAUCUUUUCCCAAAGGAGAAGCACUGCUCAAUGGCCAAUGUUGGCACACAUUUGGGUCUCAAGUUCCCAUCCAGUCCUGCCCUCCUCCUAGGUUGGUGGCUCUCAUUCACACUCAUUCACUGCAUAUCUGCGCACAGGUGCAUGGCAGGAAAACCCAAAAUAAGGUGGACUCCUCAGACACUGAGUACAGGAUCCCCAGGACCACCAGGUGCACGACCAUACCAGGAGGGUGGAGCCUCACACACCCAGAGACAGAGCUGUGGCCACUGUACGUGGCUGCACCCACCCACAGAGCACAUACUCCUUAGGACAGAACACUCUCAGAAAUUAGAGCAGGAGUUCCCUCUGUGGCACAAUGGGUUAAGAAUCUGACUGCAGGGGCUUGGGUUCCAUCCCUGGCCCAGUGCAAUGGGUUAAAGGGUCUGGCAUUGCUGCAGCUGCAGCUCAGAUUCAACCCCUGGCCCAAGAACUUCCAUAUGCCAAGGGUGCAACCAUUAAAAAAAAAAAAAAAAAAGGCAUGUUACCAUUAUGGCUCAGUGGGUUAAGGACCCAAGAUUAUGUGAGGAUUCAGGUCCCAUCCCUGGCCUCGCUCAGGGGGUUAAGGAUCUGGUGUUACUGUGGCUAUGGGACAAGCCGCAACUGGAGCUCGGAUUCAAACCCUGGCCUGAGAACGUCCAUGUGCCACAGGUGUGACUGUUUCAAAACAAAACAAAACAAAACAAAAAGACUCCAAGUUUAGAGAGAGAAGUACAUGACCAAGUACAGAACCUGUCUGAGAAACAGAACAUGGAACAUCUAACACAAACUGAUGUGGACCAAGGUGGGGUGGGAGGGCACGAAGAAGCCGAUGGACCAGAACCGGCUUCACAGCCACAGGGGUGGGGGGGUGGAAGAGUAGGGGUGGGUGUCCACCCAGGCAAAGAGGAAGGGUCUAAAGAGAAGAACCUGGCGGCCAAGAACGUCCUAGACACUAGCCUAGGCUCCGCAGGCGGAGAAGGGAGGCCGCAUGGCAGGGACAUCUGAGGGACCCUCACGGAGGAGGAGCUAAGCGACAGGCCAGCAGAGGCGGGUACGUCACCAGGAGUGCGGAACCUGGGAACCCCACCAGCAAGUCCUCGUCUCCUCAGCAGGAGAGGGAGAAGCAGGAGGAAAGUGUGUCGCGGUCUUCAGCCCCAGCAGGCGAGGGUGUGCAACGAGGCUGCAGGGACACGCCUGCUCCUUCCCUCACAGGCCUGCCCAUCGCCAUGCCACCAGCAAGCACCAGCCCUGCACUUCAGGCUCCAUUCAGGAGAAGGCUCCGGGGGGAAGGGUUCCCAGGGCCGCCACCGCAGGCCCUGUCCUCCCAAUCGCCCAGAAACGGCGGCGACGGCGGGAUGGAAAAACACCUCCAAGCCGGCUUUCCCACAGAUUCCCACUGCAGCGUAAAGCACUGAAGGAGAACUUCCCUGAGGCCUUCAGCAUCCCUGCGAAUCUUAUCACCUUUCUCCGACAGCAUCCAACACUGAGCUGUCACUCUGAGAUACAAUUCCUGCUGCAGAAAAAUUAACUCCCAAAAAGAAAAACAGGUCAAAGAAUGAGAUUUUUAACAAUGAAUUCACUGUUAAAAGCCAAGCUUUUAGUUGGAUGAAAGCAGACUGCAACCCUGUUGAGAGACACACACACACGCAUCAGCCCUCUCCAACGCAGGCAGACCCACCACCGGCUCCACACGCAGCCAGAAGACAUGGACCUCGGGUGUACCUUCAAACCACACCGUUAAGUAUUUUAAAAACCUGCAGGUGCAAGGGGCUGGUACGGGGGCACA